rnacentral:lncRNA from 1 species
CCCAGUAAGCAACCCACAAUGCUGGGGGAGCUGGAUGUCCACCCUGGGCUCCCUUUUCCCACUGGAGGAACCACAGGCUCAGGAGAGCCCUCUUGAGAACUCGCCAUAACACACCAUGGAUGGACACUCUUCAUGCCUGUUGCUGUGUGGGUCACUCAGAGAGUUCACCAGAACACUCGUUGCCAUCAUCAAGGACAGUUAAACUGCAACCCAGGAGAACCCAUCGGAUUGAAAGUGUCAUCCUCAUUCCACCAUGUAAAGAUGCUUCAAAAUUAAAUCAAGAAAUUUUCUCAACUGGCUGCAUUCUGGACUCAAAAACUAAGUUUGUAAUUUGCUGCCACUAUUAACCUUUGUUUUUCUGUUUCCACAGAUUGCUUUUAUUAGAUGCCAGAUUUCUCACACCAUUUAAAGGCUUAACUCACAUGGAAGCUACCUGUGAUACUGCUCCUGAAAUGAUAUCCUCAUGUUAUAUCCUGUCCUAUGUAAACAUGAGUAUAUGUUAUUGCUAAUAUAGCACACUGUGCCUAUGUAAAUAACUCAAAAAAAAUGAAACCCAGUUACACAUUAUCAAAAAAAAUGCAGAUUGGCUUAGAAAGGUAAAACCUGAAUCUGAUUAUAACUUAUUUGAUUUUUUUAGUUGGUAACACCUUGGCUCCUGGGAAUCUCUGUUCUGGGGAACUUUUAAUCUUUGGCUAUUAUUCUCCCUAGACUCAUCAUAUUAACCUCCCUAGUGCAUUGUACCCUCUUAAGAGUUUUAAAUGCCUUUUGGCAGCCACUCACACAUAAAAUGGUGCACAUCAGGAUCAGACAACUUGAAGAACUCAGGGAAGGUUAUACAAUUGUUGGUUACAGUCCUAUAUGACCAUCCCUCCCAUUGACCCAACUGUUACUAACAGUGACUGACUACGAUACUCUCCUAUCCAAUGAUUAUAUCAAUAGUGGUGCCCGAGAGCAUCAGUACACUAGUAGGUCACACUCUCAGCUGCUGAAAGAAUGACCAAAAAGGGAGGAUUGUUAAAAAAAAAAAAAUGGAGAUCUGGCUUGAAACUCCCCUAAGCAGACAAAACCAUUUAAGCCACAUUAGCAAAUCUCAGUCUAGCCUAUUUCAUGGACAUAAGCAAGACUGAACUUAGGUUAUUUCUUUAAAAGCCUCAGAUAAUCAUAAAUGAAAAAAUGUAUCAUCUUCCCCAAAUAAUAUAAGUUAAUCCCUUGUACUCAAUCCCCUGCCAUCUGAAAACCCCCGUUGGAAUCCGCAAUCAGUGUAAAGGUUAAACAACCUCCUCAUUUUUACUUUAUAAGCCAUCCUGCAAUGUUAGGCCACUGAGCUUCAGACCACUUUCAGGUCCAUGAUCUCCAAAGUUCUAGGGGAACAUAUCAGGUUAUCCCAGGAUCUCUACUAGGAUGCCUCACCCUGGUGGCCAUUCUGAGGUAAGUCUGCCCAUUUCUGCCGAACAGGCAGCAUCUUUGUGGUUCAGGUAAUGUUCAUGUUUUUGUCUGUGUUCAGAUAUGAUUACACAGUGGACUUGUUUUUGUCUUGAUCCAUCCAUGGCACUGAGUGGCCUUGUCUGAUAUUGGCGUUCUACGAAAUUCUUUUUAUUAAACAGGAGAACAUCAGUGCCUACCUGUGAGUCCCAGACCAGCUCCUGCCAACACUAAGGCAUAGCAGACAGUACCACUCAGCGCUUUGAUUUCGGGACUGCUUUUCCCUUUCUUGGGCAGAAAGCCAUAUGUUUCAUAAGGUAAGCCUAAAUACAAAUGUGAGGAAGAAUUCUUUUGAUCUGAAGUAGCAAAAGUAACACCCUGUGGUCCGACUGUGGGAUAAAGUAAU